GACAGAGGCCUCAAGCGUUAGGCGGAAUCACUGGGCUUAAAGCGUGUGUAGGCGGACUUCUAAGUGCCUUGUGAAAUCCCACGGCUCAACCGUGGAACUGCUGGGCAUACUGGGAGUCUUGGGCCAUUCAGGGGGCAACUGGAACAAGCGGUGGAGCGGUGAAAUGCGCAGAUAUCAGGAGGAACACCGGGUGGCGAAGGCGGUUCUCUGGGCAUGACCUGACGCUGAGGAGCGAAAGUGUGGGGAGCGAACAGG
rnacentral:rRNA from 1 species